rnacentral:rRNA from 1 species
GACGAGCGCUGGCGGCGUGCUUAACACAUGCAAGUCGAACGGAAAGGCCCUGCUUUUGUGGGGUGCUCGAGUGGCGAACGGGUGAGUAACACGUGAGUAACCUGCCCUUGACUUUGGGAUAACUUCAGGAAACUGUGGCUACUACCGGCUAGGAGCUCCUCCUGCUUGGUGGUCUUCGGACAGUUUCGGCGGUUGGGGAUGGACUCGCGGAUUAUCAGCUUGUUGGUGGGGUAGUGGCAUACCCAGGCUUUGACGGGUAGCCGGCCAGAGUGGGGUCACGGCCGCAUUGCGACUGAAAUACGGCACAGUCAACAACGGGAGGCAGCAGUGGGGAGGAUUGCACAACGGGCGGAAGAGUGAUGAAACAGCGCCGCGUGCGGAAUGACGGGCAUCGGGUUGUAAACCGCAAUCGCCUGCGACGAAGCGAAAGUGACGGUAACAGGUAAAGAAGCACCGGCUAACUACGUG